AGCGAACGCUGGCGGCGUACCUAACACAUGCAAGUCGAACGGGGAUCACAGGGUUAGCAAUAACUCGGUGGUUCUAGUGGCGCACGGGUGAGUAACACGUGGGUAACCUGCCCUUGAGUUCGGGAUACCCUUUCGAAAGGAAGGCUAAUACCGGAUACGUUCCUCGGAUUGCGAAAUCUGGGGGAGGAAAGGUGGCGCAAGCUGCCGCUCUUGGAGGGGCUCGCGGCCUAUCAGCUAGUUGGUGAGGUAACGGCUCACCAAGGCUAUGACGGGUAGCUGGUCUGAGAGGACGACCAGCCACACGGGGAACUGAGACACGGUCCCGACUCCUACGGGAGGCAGCAGUGGGGAAUUUUCCGCAAUGGGCGAAAGCCUGACGGAGUGACGCCGCGUGGGGGACGAAGGCC
rnacentral:rRNA from 1 species